rnacentral:tRNA from 1 species
GGUGGCUCAGUGGUAGAGCGCUUGCCUCGCAUGCAUGAGGCCGUGGGUUCAAUUCCUUGGCACCA